rnacentral:rRNA from 1 species
GACGACGCUGGCGGCGUGCCUAACACAUGCAAGUCGAGCGGAGGUACAAUGAGAGCAAUCGAGAUGUACUUUAGCGGCGGACGGGUGAGUAACGCGUGAGCAACCUGCCUAUCACAGGGGGAUAAGGCGGCGAAAGCCGCUCUAAUACCGCAUGAGACCCUCAAAGCGAUGCAAUGGGGGUGAAAGGAGCGAUCCGGUGAGAGAUGGGCUCGCGUCCGAUUAGGUAGUUGGUAGGGUAAGGGCCUACCCAAGCCAAUGAUCGGUAGCCGGCCUGAGAGGGUGAACGGCCACAUUGGAACUGAGAGACGGUCCAAACUCCUACGGGAGGCAGCAGUGGGGAAUAUUGGGCAAUGGGCGGAAGCCUGACCCAGCAACGCCGCGUGAGGGAAGAAGGUUUUCGGAUUGUAAACCUCUGUUCUUGGGGAAGAGGAGGAGACGGUACCCAAGGAGGAAGCCCCGGCUAACUACGUG